CUGACAUUUCCCACACGCCGUUUCGAACUACGGUUUCGUUCGAAUGUGGAUGAUGACAGUUCUAACGUUUGAGGUACAUUAACAGUCAGCCAGUUAUGAACAGAGAUUCUAUAAGCUAGAUACCAGUCACCAUUCAAGAAUAAGCCAUGGACAUCCAUUUUUGGAAAACAUAGAAGAAAACCCAAAGGAACUAAAGUGGAGAGUUUAUAACACCUUUAUGCUUUUAUGGAUUCAAGAAACACAUUGUUUUUACCUUAUUGCCUUGGAUAUCGUCAGUUCUGUCAAGGUCGGCGAGUGUUUCAUCUGUUGAAUCGUGUGGUUAACAUGUGAUCGACGUCGAGGAUUCAUGACUUUCAUUUUGUCAAGACUUUUCAUCAGAUUAGCGUCAGGCAUUGGAUGAAAAGUAUACAAAUCAAGAAGAUCAAGGGAUAACAUACAACAAGGACUGCUUUAACCUCUUUUUCCCGGCUAGGACAAUUGCAAUGAUGAAAUGAGACCGCAUCGAAAUAAAGAAAUGCCAAGGGCGGAAAGAAAUACUAGAUAGCCUCUGACAAGGAAGUAAUUGCCAACUGUGAACUUAAGGUUCACGUUUAUUGAUGAUUUCUUCACUGUGAAAUCCUGUUGUGGGCAGACGCAGGUAGAAAAUUAUUCUCCCACGGCUUUUGGUAGUGCAGCUAAUUUCGUGAGGAUUCAAGGAAGAGGGGGAAAACGUAUAUUUACGUCUUAGAUUUCAGUGGCUUGUGAUCGCCUCCAUGAGGUGUCUAAGGCA